rnacentral:lncRNA from 1 species
GUUUGCAAUCGAAGGAUCCGCAUGUCCUCGCGUCGGUUGCAUCGAUUUUUUUAAUUUUCUGACGAAAAAGUGCAUUUAGUGUACAGAAUUUAUGCGUAAUCUGUUACUAGUGUCCUGCUUAGCCCCCUGAAAAAGCGCGUUAUUAAUAGUUCCACAACACCACACUUCUUCCACACUCACACGAGCAUUGCUAGCUCUCUGUGUUGGUUAAUAAAAUUUCCUAACUCAACAUUAGUUCAUUUUGUUAGCUGAUGCGAUUGGUUAACAGUGUUUUUGUCGGUGUGGAUCCCCGGACUAGAUGAUUCCAGAGCGCGGCGCGGCCUUCCCCAAGAGAGGAGACUUCUUGGGUCACCCCCUAACCCUGAUGUUCGGGCAUCGAUGACCUGUGUAGCAUGCAGAGGUACCCAAGGGAGUCACCACCCUCUGGUUUACGAGCUAGGUGUUCUAAUGCUAGAGGCUUCGGCCGGAUACAACCUGGCACCCAAGCUCCGAGAUUUCUUCGUGCACGUAUUCCGUGACCCUCGAAGAGGCAGGGGGCGGGAUAUCGGACACAUUGAAGAUGAUGAGGGGGGUCCGCCUGUAGGGGGUCCCGGUGGAUGUCCGUCCGACGGGUGACGAGGGUGACCCCAGACGAAGCGGCUUAAUUGGGAUGGGAACUGACUGGUGAGGCUUAAUCGUCGACCAAAGGGUCGAAUCUGCAUAAGGAAGGCAACCAGCACACACUCGCAGGCGGGUCGUGGAAACAUUUUUUGUUUUUUCUUUUGGUCUAUCCCGCGUCGAAUUUUGAAGGCAGAAAAUGUCGGGAGGAGGCAAGCAUAACCAGGCCUAACUUAAACCUGUUAAAAGACAACCCGGGUUCGGAGCGCGAUUUUAAAAAAACAAGAUUGAAGAAGACAGAAAUUCUAUCUACAUGCUGCAUAUGAUCAGUCCCAAAAAAUUUCGGAUUGUUCCAGGGACCGUCGAAUACCUGGAAAACGUGUUUAAUGCCAACUCUAGAGGAUUGACCGAAGUCCAUGGAGUUAGGGGCUUUCGAUGUGCCCCAUAGCAGUGAGACGACACUGUUUUUUCGCCGGAUAAUUAUUAUAGUGGGACUGAAAAUGAACUUGAGCACGAUAUGAUGGUGAUACAGUGUGGCUUGGAGAACUUCAAAAAUUCGGUUCGCGUCGUAGUUCCAAAGCAGUAAUUUUAGGUUCUCUACAUUAUAGAAUACGGCAUUAAGUAUUCAUUUUUUAAUUUGCAGUUUUUUACAUAUAUUUUUACUUUUUUUCUUACUCUAUAAAAGGCUUUAAUUUAAAGUUUUUUAGAAAUAAUAAAUAAAUAAUAAAAAAAUAACUCCAAAGAAACAAAAUUACAUAGCAUAUUGUUUUACUAUUAUAUUUCUAAAUAAUUAUUUCUUGUCUUAUUUUAAAAUUGAUAAUAUUACUUAAUUCUUUUAAUAGUAAUUUUUAAUUGAAGGUAAAUUAAUAAAGAAUGUAACUUUACAUUAUAAUCAUUAAAAAUAAAGUAUUAGUAAAAUUUAUUUUGCUCCUGCAUAAAUCUUUUUAUUACUAAACUGCUUUGGAAUGAAUAUUUUGGGGACAAUAGCAGGAUUAGGGCCAUCUUCGAGAUGUCAUCAGGUAGGUGCGCUGGCGUAGGUGUUUGUUGUAGCGAUAGUAUUCCUAUUUCCCCUUUUAAAAAAUGAUUGUAAGACGCCUGAAAUUUGUAUAAGUUAGUUAUAUAAGUAGUAGAAUAAGAAUUGGUGAGGCUUGGAAAAUAGAAGAGGAUAGAGAAAAUGGAAGAGGAUUGCUGUGAAAUAGAUGGAAAGGAGAUAGAAGAUGUUUGAUGGAAAGAGGAGGAUUUUGUUCAUUUAACUGAUGUUUUUUGAAUGACAUUUGGAGCAACUAUAAUGAGAUGUUAUUUUGAUCUUGGACAUCAAGUUUCAUUUAAUUGUUAUUAUACAAGCAUAUUCUGUUGGUGAAAAUGUAAAAUGGCAGCUGGUAUAACAACUUGGAUGAAUUAUUAGGAACACCAAAGAAGUUUUGAUAGAAUUUAAACUGGGAAAAGCUCAUAAAAGACCAGUUUAGGCUGCGGUAGUACCAGGACCUUAAAUUGGCUUCCACAACACAGAUAUCUUUCAAAAAUAAUAUUUGUUCGAGUGAUGUACUGGGCGUUAACAGUUGUUGUUACAAUUCUGCAAAUGAGUUACUACUGUACAUAAGUUUGAGGAAUAUCAAGAAAUGUUUUGAAUGAAAUGAUAGUGAAAAACUUGUCCUCAAAUGUCAAUUUCAAGAUACAAUCAAUAGUACUUAGAUUGAUUGGCCUCCAUUACCAUUAUGCUAUAAAAAUGUGAGCUAUCCAUACCAAUUGGUGUUAAUGGACGUUUUGACAGUUGCUGUUAUUAAUCCAAGUUCCAGUUUUCAUGGAAAAUCUUUAAUGGACACAGAAAAAUGUCUUUUACUGGACCGACUUCAACACCUCUUGCGUUUUAAUAAUGUUAUACAACAGGACUAUUCUAUUGCUGUUGGAAGUCAACAAGUAGUACUAGUAUCAUGGUGGACAUCAAAAGGCUUUAAAUGGAAUGAAACUUGCAGGAAAAAUAAAGGAAAACCAUUUUAGACUGUAUACGUAAUAGCUCUUAGAGUUGAUGCAGUCCUUCAUCAAUGAUCAAUGUCACCUAAAGAAAUGGAUGGUAAUGGACGUUUUGACAGCUGCUCUCACAAGUCUCAACAAACAAGUUGCAGCUUUGACGGAAAAUUUUUGAUUGGAUACAGAAAAAUGUCAGUCGUACAUUUCAGUCAAUAGAACCAGGGUUGAACUCGACAUCUGUUGCCUUUUAAUAAUGAUAAACGAAAGGACAAUUGCUAUUAGAAACAAAUAAGUCGUACUAGCUGCAAGUAAUAUGUAUGGUGGUCAUGAAAGAGAUUUAAACGGAAUGAAACUUGUACAGAAAAAAUCAAGGAAAACCAUUUUGAACUGCUGCAACUUAAUCGCUGUUAGAGCGGAUCCAGUUCUUCGUCAUUGAUAUACGAUGGGACAAUUGCUGUUAUAAAUCCACAAGCCUAACUAUCUGCAAAUAUUAUGGUGGACAGUAAAAAGCUUUAAAUGGAAUGAAACUUGCAGGAAAAGACUCAGAAAGACCAUUUAGGACUGUACUUAAUAGCUGUUAGUAUGGUGGCAGUCCUUCAUAACUGAUAUCUCGGCAUUUUCUUAACAAUCGAUAUCAACAGUUGCUCCUACUCCUCACUUUCCUCUUUCACUCAACACGAAGAAGACUCAACUCUCAAUGCCUCACCAAGGUUCGUUAGCUUCAUUAACAAUGUUAUUGUUUCAAUAAAUGUGUUUAUUGGUUUUUAUCAUCUUCUUAACUAUUUAAAUAUAUCAGGCGUCAUUUUAAUGUUAAUUUUUUGUAAAAUUUUGAUAAUCUGGAUAGAAACUUUUUUUUUCCUUAAGCUUUUGCCAAUAUAAAACUCUAGUUAAGAGCAAUACACUUUAUUUUAUGAAUAGGACCAUUAUCUCUGUUAAUAUUGUCUUUAUAUUUAUUUAUUUUGAUGCUUUACUUAAUAUCUAGUUGCCUCUAGUUUGAGGGAUGUUUGAUUAAUUUUAAAUCAUUCAAAUCAAUGCAAUAAUCUUUAUGGAGGAUAUGUUGAGCAACAUAAUACUAAUUUGUUAUAGUUUUUCAUUCAAGCUGUAUUUCAAUCUCACCUAUCUGAUAUUUACUUCCAUUAGUUCAAUCAUUAAAUUGUUAUUAAAUAAAACUAUAUUGUAUUCUGGAUUUCGUCAAAGGUAUUUUUCAAAAGAAUCAAAAAACAAUAUUUAUAGGCUUUUAUCAUUUCCAAUUUAUUUUUAUUUUGUACUAUUUAUAUUUUCCUAAGCUUCUCUAACUUUAUUCCAGAUUAUCAAAAUUAUAAUUUUUAUACUUGCGCAGCUGCGUCACUAUAGCUCUAUGAACACAAGUAUUAUUUUUAAUGUUUAUGUUUUUUAAUAUUUCAUUUAUUGUAUUAACGCAAAACUAAAUUUUAUAGAAUUUAACUAACUAUAUCUUCAAACAAAAUGAUAAUUUAAUAGUUAAUGGUCAAUUUAAUAUUUUUUCAUAAAAAUUAAAUGUGAUUAUUGAACACCAAUGUCAAGCUAUUAGAAAUUAAUUAUUUUUUUUUGAAAUCAUUCUUUUUACUAAAUCAAUUUUGGAUACUUGUGUUCAUAUAGUUUAUUUUUGCUUUUGAGAAUUAUUUUUGGUACCCUAACAGAUGUUUUUAAUCAAUUUAUAUGAUUUUAAACCGUUUAUGUUUAUAUCUAUUUUGUACUUAAAUUUUAGUGAUAAAGUUUUUUUCUUUAACACAGAGAGCAAUGCACUUCAUGCAUUGUUUUUUUUAUAUUCAGAAUUCUCUUUUAUAUAGUGUGUCCCCGGAACGUCUUUACAAGAGCUUUUUUAUUAUUAACAUUUUCAUAUAAAAAUAUUUUUCUCUUUGAUAUUUUCAUUUCAAUUUUUUUAAAAAAUAUGUGAACAAUGUUAGGACACAUUUAAAAUUAUUUUUCGUAGAUAUACUGUGCGAUUCAAGUAUAUUUAUAUUAAAAUUGCAGUUGGUUAUAUGCAAUGUUUUGUGUGUGAUAGUUAAUAUACUGUACUCCAAUCAAAAUUGCAUAAAUUAUUUCUUUUGUCAUUUUUUUUAGUAUUACUGGUUGCCUAAUUGAUUCUUAUAUAAUGUUCUUAAUCAUUAAAGCAAAUUUUAUUAAUAUUACUUUAUUAAAAAAAAUCUCAUUUCCAGUAGUAAUUUUUUCUCUCAAUUUUAGUAUUUGAAAUAUCUCUAUAUUUUUUUCAUAUUUAUUUAACAUCUCUAUUAGACCUCUACGACCCAUCGUCUCUGAAUAAUACAAACUGCUGUUUGCUAUGUGUUAAUAAAAUCGUUACACUUACGUUUAAGAUAAUUAAUUACACCUUAUCUUUUUAAUUACUAUAUAAUUUUAUUUUUAAAUAUGAAACAAACUUUAUCUCCUAAAAUUUAUCAAUAAUUUUAAAUAUGAAAAUAGUCUGUUGGGUAUAUAAUAUAUUUAUUGUAGGAUCAUUUGAAAUAUCAUAAGCCAAUUUAAAUUGUAAGAAUUAACAUUUUUCACACAAAAAAUAAUUCUAGUUUUAUAUGUGGCAUAUGUUUUUUCAGGUGACCUUUCAAAAUUUAAAAUAUUGUGACAUAGAUUUUAUACCCCUUAAAUGUCACAAAAAAUAUAUUUUAAUACCAAUUUUGUAUGUUAUUUCAUGUAUUAGAAUUUUAUAAAUAUUGUUUUAAAUAUUUUGUUAAUAAUAGUGAUCUAUAGCUUAACUUUGCUAUCUGUAAUAAGAAAUAGGUAUUUCUAAAUAUUUUUUGCUGAAAAUAAAUAAUAUUAUUUUAUAACAUUAAUUAAGCAAAAUAAAUUUGAAGAUCCCUAUUAUUAUCAAAUAUAAUAAUUCAAACGUCACAAAAGUAUUAAUUUUUGCCACGUGAUUGACGUGGUUGAAGUAGUGUCAAAUUUAACGAGCGUAACUAUAGUUUCUCGAUAUAUAAUUACUUACAAGGUAUUACUUUUAAAUAUUUUUAUAUUUUUUGCAAUGUUUGAAAUUGUUUAAAAAA